rnacentral:rRNA from 1 species
AACGAACGCUGGCGGCAUGCCUAACACAUGCAAGUCGAACGAGACCUUCGGGUCUAGUGGCGCACGGGUGCGUAACGCGUGGGAACCUGCCCUUAGGUUAGGAAUAACUCCCCGAAAGGGGUGCUAAUACCGGAUAAUGUCUUCGGACCAAAGAUUUAUCGCCUUUGGAUGGGCCCGCGUUGGAUUAGCUAGUUGGUAGGGUAAAAGCCUACCAAGGCGACGAUCCAUAGCUGGUCUGAGAGGAUGAUCAGCCACACUGGGACUGAGACACGGCCCAGACUCCUACGGGAGGCAGCAGUGUGGAAUAUUGGACAAUGGGCGAAAGCCUGAUCCAGCAAUGCCGCGUGAGUGAUGAAGGCCUUAGGGUUGUAAAGCUCUUUUACCCGGGAUGAUAAUGACAGUACCGGGAGAAUAAGCGCCGGCUAACUCCGUG